AUGAGUGGUGAUUGGUUUGUUUCGGGUGGUUGGCUUUAUGCUUGUGCAACAACCUCCACCUGUCAUUCCUCCUUAGUUGUGCCUUGGGGGUUGCAUCUCCUUGAGUUUAUUGUGGGUUUCCUGUGUUGAAUUCCUAUUUGAUGGUAUUGUUUUGUCCGAUCUUAGACCCUUUUUCAUUUUGUCUUGCGUUUGUGAUUCAAGAUGAACCAUGAAGUUCUCUCCAUGUUCCGCUAUGUUGAUUAAUAUGCAUCGAUGUCGUGGCCCCUUGAGUGUUGCUUGGUAUCUUGGAUAUGGGAUGUUACGUGGGCAAUGGGUUUCUUAUGGCUCAUUUUUUUGUCCUCAUCCAGUGUUCCUCUAAAUGACAGUUCAUGCGCGCCUAGGCUCGUACCUGCGUGAUGUUCUUUGUCAAAGAUGAAUGC
rnacentral:misc_RNA from 1 species